GCCCUUGUGGCCCAAUGGAUAGGCUAUCGGUCUUCUAAACUGGGGAUCGUGGGUACGAGCCCCACCAAGGGUA